rnacentral:ribozyme from 1 species
UUGGCCAAGCGAGCUAGAACCGGACAAAGCAUCAGAGCCACGGAAAUCACCUGUUCGGCCAACCAUAGAGCUCUCG